rnacentral:rRNA from 1 species
AUGCAGUCGAGCGGAACGAUGGAGCUUGCUCCAGGCGUCGAGCGGCGGACGGGUGAGUAAUGCAUAGGAAUCUGCCCGGUAGUGGGGGAUAACCUGGGGAAACCCAGGCUAAUACCGCAUACGUCCUACGGGAGAAAGCAGGGGAUCUUCGGACCUUGCGCUAUCGGAUGAGCCUAUGUCGGAUUAGCUUGUUGGUGAGGUAAUGGCUCACCAAGGCGACGAUCCGUAGCUGGUCUGAGAGGAUGAUCAGCCACAUCGGGACUGAGACACGGCCCGAACUCCUACGGGAGGCAGCAGUGGGGAAUAUUGGACAAUGGGCGAAAGCCUGAUCCAGCCAUGCCGCGUGUGUGAAGAAGGCUUUCGGGUUGUAAAGCACUUUCAGUGAGGAAGAAAGCCUUGGGGCUAAUACCCCCAAGGGACGACAUCACUCACAGAAGAAGCACCGGCUAACUCCGUGCCAGCAGCCGCGGUAAUACGGAGGGUGCGAGCGUUAAUCGGAAUUACUGGGCGUAAAGCGCGCGUAGGCGGCGUGAUAAGCCGGUUGUGAAAGCCCUGGGCUCAACCUGGGAACGGCAUCCGGAACUGUCAGGCUAGAGUGCAGGAGAGGAAGGUAGAAUUCCCGGUGUAGCGGUGAAAUGCGUAGAGAUCGGGAGGAAUACCAGUGGCGAAAGGCGGCCUUCUGGACUGACACUGACGCU